GACGAACGCUGGCGGCGUGCUUAACACAUGCAAGUCGAGCGGUAAGGCCCUUUCGGGGGUACACGAGCGGCGAACGGGUGAGUAACACGUGGGUGACCUGCCCUCAGCUCUGGGAUAAGCCUGGGAAACCGGGUCUAAUACUGGAUAUGACUCCAUGACGCAUGUUGUGGGGUGGAAAGCCUUGUGCGGCUGAGGAUGGGCCCGCGGCCUAUCAGCUUGUUGGUGGGGNGAUGGCCUACCAAGGCGACGACGGGUAGCCGGCCUGAGAGGGCGACCGGCCACACUGGGACUGAGACACGGCCCAGACUCCUACGGGAGGCAGCAGUGGGGAAUUGUUCGCAAUGGGCGCAAGCCUGACGACGCAACGCCGCGUGGAGGAUGAAGGUCUUCGGAUUGUAAACUCCUGUUGCCCGGGACGAAAGCUCCGACCUAACACGUCGGAGUCUGACGGUACCGGGUGAGGAG
rnacentral:rRNA from 1 species